GGGAACGGUUCUGUCUUAUCCAUCUGUGCCUCUUCCUUUCUCCAGAGAUGAAGAAAAUGGCUUUGCUGAAGGCAGUGUUUCCCGAAGGAAACAGUGGCACGUGGGCAGCCUCUGCAGAAGGAAGGGAGGCCAUGCCAGGCACAGUCCCAGGAGAUGAGGGUGCUGAGACAGCUUCUCCAGCAGCUGGGAUGGAAGAUGGUUUGGAACCAUUAGGAGGUUCUGCAGUUACAGGUGUGUCUGCAGAG